rnacentral:lncRNA from 1 species
CAGUCAAAAGAGAAAUGUAAAGUACACUCCACACAUUUUACAGACCCAAAACUAUACAAAGAGAACAAAAACAUACAACGCCCUUCAAUUUAAAUCCUCUCAAAUCGUUAAGAUAAACAAUAAUAUCCACGAAAAAAUAUAAAGGGAAUUCUUGCUAGGACCCUGCAUAUACAUUUUGAAAACUGGCAAAACCUAUUUACAGCAUGCAUUUCAAAGGCAGACCUGUGUAGUCUUACUUCCAACGAACUUCCCAGUGUAGUUCUGGAACUAUAAAGGUCGUGUCCAGAACAUCAUUGCCACUCAUACGUGAAUUGUUGAGGAGAACUUGCAUUGAGGAAACUCAUAUCCUUGAGCCAUCUCCCAAAACAUAUUUUGUAGCUCCUCAACACUGCAUGUCUUACCCUGCAUACGGAAACAUGGGGUUAGUAAAAGCUCCAAAAAGGAGAUUCCAGGACACAAGAA